GUUGUUUUAAAAAUGGUUCUGCUCAUAAUUCUUUUUGCCUCCAUUUAUCAAACUUGCUGGAAGGCAUAUUUCAAUGAAAUAUGUUACGCGUCUAUGACUGUUUUCCAGAGCAUUGUAUCAUGGGUCUUCCGACACAUUCAGUAGAGUACUUCAUAAGAAAAAUGCCAUCAUGUAUUAGACAUAACAACAGAUGGGCAGAUGCAAGUUCUCCUGUUCAGAAGGAUGUCAUCGAUAAACCUCGGAUGAGACACCUGCAGUGAUAUGCAAGGCUUAAUGGAAAUGUGAAUUGUGAAAUAAUUAGUGCUGGUGACAUUAGUGUGAUUGGAAAGAAAACCUUAUAGAGGUGUUAACCAAGAUUCCAUGCCACUGUGCUGCAAAAUAAAAAUGAUUGAUAGACCAUGACUUUUUUGUUGCAAAGGAUGCGGAGCACAAUAGAUCUCAUUGCUCCAAGUUUUAAAAAGGUUUUGAAAAAAAUUGGCAUAAUAAUAGCGAUGAUAAUUUGAACAAAAACAAUAGGUUGCCCAACAAGUUUGGUGCCUCACUACUUAUAAAUAAACUGUAUGACCUGCAAAAAUAGUGUGUUAUAAAACAUAUAAUUCAUGGGUAGACGCUCAGCCCGCUCACAUAUAUCUGAAC